rnacentral:rRNA from 1 species
CCUACGGGGGGCUGCAGUGGGGAAUACUGGACAAUGGGGGCAACCCUGAUCCAGCCAUGCCGCGUGUGUGAAGAAGGCCCUCGGGUUGUAAAGCACUUUCAGUGAGGAAGAACGCCUGGUGGUUAAUACCCAUCAGGAAAGACAUCACUCACAGAAGAAGCACCGGCUAACUCCGUGCCAGCAGCCGCGGUAAUACGGAGGGUGCGAGCGUUAAUCGGAAUUACUGGGCGUAAAGCGCGCGUAGGUGGCUUGAUAAGCCGGUUGUGAAAGCCCCGGGCUCAACCUGGGAACGGCAUCCGGAACUGUCAAGCUAGAGUGCAGGAGAGGAAGGUAGAAUUCCCGGUGUAGCGGUGAAAUGCGUAGAGAUCGGGAGGAAUACCAGUGGCGAAGGCGGCCUUCUGGACUGACACUGACACUGAGGUGCGAAAGCGUGGGUAGCAAACAGGAUUAGAUACCCUAGUAGUC